CUAGUAAUCGUAGGUCAGCAUACUACGGUGAAUACGUUCCCGGGCCUUGUACACACCGCCCGUCAAACCAUGAGAGUUGGCAACACCCGAAGUCGGUAGUCUAACCGCAAGGAGGACGCCGCCGAAGGUGGGGUUGAUGAUUAGGGUUAAGUCGUAACAAGGUACC
rnacentral:rRNA from 1 species